CCUCUAGAGCCAGGGGGCUGGGAUCUGCCCUGGAGCUCCCUCUGCAGUCAGGGGGCUGGAACCUGCCUCUAGAGCCAGGGGCUGGAGCACCCUCUGCAGCCAGGGGUGUGAAGCCACCCCUAGAGCCUGGGCCUGGAGCUCCCUUUGCAGCCAGGGGUCUGGAACCUGCCUCUAGAGCCAGGGCCUGGAGCACCCUCUUCAGCCAGGGGGAUGGAACCAGCCCCUGGAGCCGGGGCCUGGAGCUCCCUCUGCAGCCAGGGGCCUGGAACCCUCCACCCAGCUGGGGCAUGUUGGAUCCCUCUCCAUCAGGGUAGCGAUGGACACUUCUCUUCCUAGCUGACUCCAAAAUGCAUAUUGAUUACAGUGCUGUAGGGGGUAGACUUUGAUUAAAGCAUCACUUCGGGGUUACCAAAGCCUAUAACUUUUCUAUUCCUGUUAGCGGCGACAAGGACAACUUAAAUCCAGAGGAAACCAGUGCCAUCUCCCAGAGCAGAUCUGCAGCAACCUGAGGGACCUCAGUGCCAUUGUAUGACUCAAAGAUCUUUAAAGUUGUAUGUGGUAUUAUUUUCCAUAGAGGACUUUCUAUAGAUCAGUCUUAACUAGACCAAGGGAAGUUUUAAAUAGUUAAAGAAAACUAUGUUUAGAAAGAGAGAGAAAUAGUCACACAUUCAGGUGUCUGAACAUCAGUGUUCUGUGAUAAAUAACUUAUACUGUGAAAUAUUUGUGAGGUAUGUAAUGUGGUUGGGCAUGGUCAUGCAGAAAUUACUAAUAGAAAAGUAAGUAUUGCUAUGGAAUCCUGAAAGAUUGGGUUAUAAGCAACUUUCGAGAUAAUGUUGAUUUGUGCAUUUUAUUGUGAUUUUUAGAACUAAACAUUCCAUAAGAGGAUAAAAGAGAUGGGACAAAGAAAGCCCCAACUCCUCACACUGUGUGCCAUAAGCUAGAUUGUUGCAUUGUUUUGCAGUGGUGUUACAUAGGAAAAUUCACAGUAAAAUAAAGUAAGUUAGUAAUAGGAUCAAAAUUAGGCAUAUUAAUUAGUGCUGAUUUAAAGCAUUCAGGGAUAUAACCCUGUUCUUCAGCACAUAUAUCGUUAGGUACCAUCUUUUUUGUGAAGUUGUUUUCCUUCAUUUUAUUUGCAGACCAGUUGUUAAAAUACAAGAUUUUUGUUUUAAUACCAAAUUUGCCAAGUGUAUCAUGUAAAGGUUUGGAAUUUUGUUUUCUAUUUUUUGUAAAAUAAAUAAAUAAAAAGCAGCUAUUCUGCCUGAGCCAUACCCAGUUUUCAAACAUAAAAUAUCUCAGUGAGUUAAAAAUAAAAAUCAGGAAUCUGCUUGAAGUGCCAGCAAAACUGCAGUUUUGAAAAGUGAACUAACUUAUUUUUAAGUGCUUUUUUUAUUUGAGGCCUCUAAACAUGUUUAACUUUAAGCAUAUGCAUAAAUCCCAUUGAUUUAGAUGUGCUUAAUUGCUUUCCUGAAUUGGAAUGCUAUCCUGAAACCUGGCCAAAGAGAGUAGAUCCAUAAAGCUUAAGAAACACUGGCGCUGAUGCAAAGUCCACUGAGCUGAGUGGAAAAACUCCCAUUGACAGCAGUGGGUUUUGGAUCAAGCCCUAUUCUAAAUAGCUCAGCAACUCAGGGGCACAGGCCUGCCCCUAUUGAAAUCAACAGUUUUGUCAUUGGCUUCAACAGCACUAGGCCCUUUCAAAAGUAACAAUGUUUUUAGAAAAAAACAUUGGCUCUAGCCAAUGUGUCUCAGGUUUUUGCUGCUGCAGUUUAAAAAGGCCAAUUUAACGGAGUCUGAAAACUGGGAUUCAUAAUGGAAAUAUGAACUGAGCUUUAAUUAUAAUGGUGUGAAAAAUACACAGUAAUAAUUACUGUGACUAGUCUUCGCUACCCCGUCUUUUAUGAAUGCAACACACCUUUGUUCCACUCUGAAUUCUGUUCUGUAGUGGCUGAGUAUUUUUAAUAUAGGAACACUAGCUGUAAUCCAUUCACUCGAUGCUACAGUAAACUAGGAGUUUAGUUAAACUCUAGUAUUCAUUACGUUGUGCCUUAGUAUUGAAAGUUUGACCCAUUGAUAUUGGCUUUUCUGUUCUUGUUGUAACUGUUAGAGGAACAUGUGUACCUUCCACAGUGUUUGUCUGUUUAAUAGGAAAAUAAACCUAGGCUAGCUGAAUAUUACUUGAAUUUUAAUAUAUAUUUAAAAUAGAGUAAAUUACCUUCCUAGAGCUUCUGUGUUAGUUUUUUUUUAGUAUUGUCUCCACGUAGUUUACUGGUAUAACAAAAAUCUAACAUAUCACAUAAAAAAAUAAUGGUGGGGGGGAAAUAGGGUUUAUGUAACAGUGUAUUAUUAAUAGAUCACAUGUGAAACGAAAGUGUUUGUCUGAAUAAACAAAGAUGUUUAUAAUCAGUAAUUGCUCAGUGGGCAUUUCUUAGGUAGUAUGGACGACCUAAAACUUGUAAGUAGAUGGCAUAUGUAGAAACCCUCUAGGAUCUGUUAAAAUACAAUAUUUGUACUAAUCAGAUGAGCACAGCCAUACUACAGACUACAUUUCUCUCCCUCCCCCUGUGUGUUUUUAAUCCAGCAAGCAAACUUAUUUCCCUUAGGACUGAAAUAAUUUAAGGGUGGUCAGGAAGCUGAAGGUCUGUAUUUUGUCAGACAAAAAUACCUCUCUUUUUCAUUAUUUCUUCAUGUUUUCCUUCUAACAAGAAGCUUGCUGUAAAUUACAUUUCUUCCCUUCAUGAGUUUCUUGCCUCUGAACCUUGGUUUAAAACCAGCUGACAGUAUUUAAAAUAUAAUUGCAAUCGGAGGAUGAGCCCUGACAGACAAUUUCAUUCAUGUUUUUCCCCAGAGAGAGAUAAUGUGUGAAAUAAUCUGAAAUUAGUUCAAGGAUAUUAAGACAAGUUGUACCUAGUGGUGUCAUGUCAUCCUUUGUGUAAAUCCAUUAAAUUCAGUGGAUUUAAACCCACAGUGAAUUUGGCCUAGUUUCCUUUGAAGGCCUCUCGUGCAUCUACCCUAUGGUCAAUCCUAGGCAGGAUUCGUAGAGUGGAACUAAUAUUGUACAUUUCUAUCCAUUUCCGUCACUCGCUGUUGCUGUCUUGUCCUUCAUCUUACCAUGAAUUGCCAGACUUGAAAGUUAAAUAUGUAACUAAUGAGCCUUGUAUCACCUUGGAGUUGACCUUAAUGCAUUAAAAGAAUAUAAUACACA